UUGAUUUUUUUUUUUUUGGUUCGAAUUUUUAUUGUGGUAGAGUAAUUGGAUUCUGAUAAUUGUCAAUCUAAUUGCAUGAAUCAUUCGAAUUAUGAAGGAAACAGAAGUAAAUUCGUAGAAUUCGAAUUUUAGGUGAUUGAAAAAACCUUCAAAGUUCUUGUUUUUGGGAUAAAUUCAUCGAUUGUUUGUAUGUAAAUAUUUAAGCCGAAUUAUUGCUGUAAGUUCAAUCAAAUUACCCUUAAUUUUGUCGAAUUUACUCAACGAAUUCCUGGGGUUUUGAUUCGAUUUUUUUGCUCGAAAUUUCUCGAAUUAAUGCUCGAAUUUGCUCAAUUUUUUGCUCGAAUUAAUGCUCGAAUUCCUGGGGUUUCUUAGGGUUUUAUUUUGUUUUUUUGCUCGAAAUUGGGGGUUUUAUUAAUGCUUGAAUUGGGGGUUUUAUUAAUGCUCAAAUUCCUGCAGUUUGGUUGUUGAAUUUGUGGAAAUUUUUUUGGUCGAAUAUCUGGGGGUUUUUGGGUAGAAUUUCUGGGGUUUUUGGGUCGAUUUUUUGGGUUUUUUGGGUCGAAUUUCCUUGAAUUUCUGGGCGAUUUUUGCUCAAAUUUCCUUGAAUUUCUGGGUGAUUUUUGCCUUGGGGAUUGCCUUGGACUCGGGUUUUUUCAGCCUGUGUUUAGAAAAUGACUGCUUGAAGCUGUGCAAUGCCUUGAAGAAAAGAGAUGUGCAGCCUACUUAGUUUGGUUUGGUAGUGAAUAAUAUCCAGAAUUUAGCUGCUAGGUGUCGUGUUUGUUCCUUUUCUUUUGUGAAACGUGAUGGCAAUCGGGUUGCUCAUGAGCUGGCAAAAAUGAGUUGUAAGGCCUGUUGAAAAAAUUAAUGACUUGCAUUGUGCAAAUGUGCUUAAUCCAUUGUUUUUAAAACAACUGUCUAAGGCCUGUGUACAGAACAGAAGGAAGCACUAAUGUUGAAAUGGGUGAUCUUUUAUAGGUAGUUUAAGGGGUCUAAUAUUGAAAUGAGUAAAAUAUAGAUGAUUCGUAUGCAGCUAGGUUGGAGAUUAGACAAUUGCAAGCAAUAGAAGUGAUUUGCAACUUUCAAACAUAAUGUCUUCAAAAGGUUCUUGAGCAAGAUAGCAAUUAUCAAUUAUCAUUGCUGUGAAGUCAUCUGAUAAACAGUCAACAACCGUGGUUCUUUCCUUGACUAUGUCUGGUGUGGAAAAUAGUUAGCAUGAAUAUGAUUAGACAAAUCUCAAAGUUAAACAAAAGAACAAUAUAAAUGGCAGAAGGGGUGUUAGAAGAAGUUAUAAAGUUCCACUGAAGGCAAAAUUUGAUCCAUGAAAGUUGGCUUGACAAAAUUCAGUCCCACAAGUGGAGGAAGUAAUGUUUUUGUAUUUUAAGCAAGUUCCUCCUACAUAUUCUCAACAAAUGAUCGACGAGCUUAGGAAAAGGUGGAUUUCAUAUGUUACCGGAUACCAUCAACCAAAUGACGACAACGACGACGAUCUAUGUGAAUUGUAGAUCAAUAUGGUAUUGGUAUAUCUAAGCAUGAUUUUUUUUCAAUCAACAUUAACUAGAAAGUUGUUUUGAUAUUUAACUCACGUAUUUGUUUGUAUAGUACAAAUUUUGUAUGAAUGAUUCAAUUUAAUUGUAGUUCGAUGUUUUAAAUUA